rnacentral:rRNA from 1 species
AUUGAACGCUGGCGGCAUGCUUUACACAUGCAAGUCGAACGGUAACAGGCCGCAAGGUGCUGACGAGUGGCGAACGGGUGAGUAAUGCAUCGGAACGUGCCCAGUCGUGGGGGAUAACGCAGCGAAAGCUGCGCUAAUACCGCAUACGAUCUAUGGAUGAAAGCGGGGGACCGUAAGGCCUCGCGCGACUGGAGCGGCCGAUGUCAGAUUAGGUAGUUGGUGGGGUAAAGGCUCACCAAGCCAACGAUCUGUAGCUGGUCUGAGAGGACGACCAGCCACACUGGGACUGAGACACGGCCCAGACUCCUACGGGAGGCAGCAGUGGGGAAUUUUGGACAAUGGGCGCAAGCCUGAUCCAGCAAUGCCGCGUGCAGGAAGAAGGCCUUCGGGUUGUAAACUGCUUUUGUACGGAACGAAACGGUCCUGGUUAAUACCCGGGGCUAAUGACGGCACCGUAAGAAUAAGCACCGGCUAACUACGUGCCAGCCGCCGCCGUAAUAC